AACAAACGCUGGCGGCGUGCCUAAUACAUGCAAGUCGAACGGGGAAAGCUUUCGGGUGAGUACUAGUGGCGCACGGGUGAGUAACGCGUGGAUAAUCUGCCCUCGAAUGGGGAAUAACUAGUCGAAAGAUUAGCUAAUACCGCAUAAGACCACGACUCCUGAGGUAGUUGGGGUCAAAGGAGCAAUUCGUUUGAGGAUGAGUCCGCGUAAGAUUAGCUAGUUGGGGAGGUAAUGGCUCACCAAGGCGAUGAUCUUUAACUGGUCUGAGAGGAUGAUCAGUCACACUGGAACUGAGACACGGUCCAGACUCCUACGGGAGGCAGCAGUAGGGAGUAUUGGACAAUGGGGGCAACCCUGAUCCAGCGACGCCGCGUGAGCGAUGAAGGCCUUCGGGUCGUAAAGCUCUGUUGUAAGGGAAAAAGUUCUGAUUGUACCUUACGAGAAAGGAUCGGCUAACUUCGUGCCAGCAGCCGCCGUAA
rnacentral:rRNA from 1 species